UGUGAGUACUGCGGAGGACAUUAUUGAAGUUGCUGAGGGGUUGCUGCUGGCUCUCCGGAGCAUUGUGCACGCCCUUCUCACUUUACCUUCAUCCACCUGUGCACACACUGUAGAUCUCGGAUACCUCUCGGCUGGAUUUAUCUGGCCGGCUAGGAUUGCUGCUCUUCACGGGGCUUCAAUCCGAUUUCCGGGUUCUAUGUCCUUCUCACAUACUCUAAGUAAUAUCAUAGAAUGUAUCAUGGGUCGUAUGACCUUUACAAUUAUAAUACAACUUUCAACAACGGAUCUCUUGGCUCUCGCAUCGAUGAAGAACGCAGCGAAAUGCGAUAAGUAAUGUGAAUUGCAGAUUUCAGUGAAUCAUCGAAUCUUUGAACGCACCUUGCGCUCCUUGGUAUUCCGAGGAGCAUGCCUGUUUGAGUGUCAUUAAAUUCUCAAUCUUCUUUGGAUUUUUUCAUUGGAGACUUGGAUGUGAGGGUUUGCCGGUUGUUCAAUCGGCUCCCUUUAAAUGUGUUAGCGUUGCCUCAGCCGAUCGAACGCCCCUCGGUAUGAUAAUUAUCUAUGCCGUGUCGGGGAUCGCACGAGAGUAUGCUUCUAACAGGCCCUCCUUGGGGAACCUAAUCCUCCUAACCUGGACCCCAAUCCAGGAAGAACAACCGGUGAACCUAAGCAAACAUA
rnacentral:rRNA from 1 species